GUGCUUCUUCCCGCGCGGCUCCACCUGCCGCGCGCUUCCGCAGCUGGCCAGUCUCUUCUGCCCCUCCCCCUCCUGUUAACACAGAAAUCUGCCUCCUGGGCCAUGCCGCUUCUAAGGCCUGUUUCUUCUCAUGAGCCCCAGCACAAGACAGAUGGGCCAGUUCUCACAGUGGAUAACUUCCCCUGCCUGAGCAAGAGAUGGGAUAGUAUCUGGGAUCUAUCCAUCACCAGACUCUGAACUUAAUAAGGCAGCUGAAUGAAGGGAGGUAACGGACCCCUGAGAGGGGCGCUGAAGUCUGCAGUGGGGGGGGAGG
rnacentral:sRNA from 1 species